CCCUUAGAUGUCCUGGGCCGCACGCGCGCUACACUGAUGCAUUCAACGAGUCUAAAACCUGCUCUGAUAGGGGUGGGUAAUCUUUUGAAUGUGCAUCGUGAUUGGGAUAGAUGAUUGCAAUUUUUCAUCUUCAACGAGGAAUGCCUAGUAAACGCAAGUCAUCAGCUUGCAUUGAUUACGUCCCUGCCCUUUGUACACACCGCCCGUCGCUCCUACCGAUUGAAUGAUCCGAUGAAUAUCAUGGAUUGAGGAUUAUAGCAGGUUCGCCUGUCUUGAUCUUCGAGAAGUGAAGUAAAUCUUAUCAUUUAGAGGAAGGAGAAGUCGUAACA
rnacentral:rRNA from 1 species